rnacentral:lncRNA from 1 species
CAAAACGGUGUUUGUAAGUUUUCGUUACCAUUAAAACUGAUUAGGUUUCCAUGGAAGACAUUUAGGAAAGUUCAUAAAACCUUUCUACAAAUUGAUUUAUAAAGAAGUUUAGAUUAGAAUGUGUCGUAUUUUUUUUUUUUUUGAAAGAGAAGGCAUAGUAUUCAGCAGUUUCCAAAAUUUGCCAUCAUAUUUACCUACGUUGGGCCGAGAAGGCAACCCGAACCAAUCCGACAAAACCCGGGUCGUGAGAAACAUAGUUUCUUCUAAUUUUAAAUUUGGUUUAAAUAAAUAGUUAUUUAUUUCUUAGUCCAAAAAAAAAAAUAGUUCUUUAUUUCUUGUUGUAAUAUGUAUUUUCUUCUGAUAAAAACGUUAGUCAUAUGUAAAAUUUGAAAUAUACUGUAUCUCUUAU